AUUGAACGCUGGCGGCAGGCUUAACACAUGCAAGUCGAGCGGAGAUGAGGUGCUUGCACCUUAUCUUAGCGGCGGACGGGUGAGUAAUGCUUAGGAAGCUGCCUAUUAGUGGGGGACAACAUUCCGAAAGGAAUGCUAAUACCGCAUACGUCCUACGGGAGAAAGCAGGGGAUCUUCGGACCUUGCGCUAAUAGAUGAGCCUAAGUCGGAUUAGCUAGUUGGUGGGGUAAAGGCCUACCAAGGCGAAGAUCGGUAGCGGGUCUGAGAGGAUGAUCCGCCACACUGGGACUGAGACACGGCCCAGACUCCUACGGGAGGCAGCAGUGGGGAAUAUUGGACAAUGGGGGGAACCCUGAUCCAGCCAUGCCGCGUGUGUGAAGAAGGCCUUAUGGUUGUAAAGCACUUUAAGCGAGGAGGAGGCUACUGAGACUAAUACUCUUGGAUAGUGGACGUUACUCGCAGAAUAAGCACCGGCUAACUCUGUGCCAGCCGCCGCCGUAACAC
rnacentral:rRNA from 1 species